UUCAGGUACAAAGAAGGAAGAAGCUUGCAGCUAGGAGGGAGAGAAGUCAGCGGAAACGCCGGCCAUCUCACAGGGGGAAAGUGACAAAAACGGAAGGACUGAAGCUCGUCUGGACUUGGAACUGGUGGUCUUCCUGGAAGAUCUCAGGCCAUGCAUUGGACUUUUAAAGAGACUCACCCCUGCCUGCCCCAGACGCACCAGGAAAGCUGCCGAAUGAUCCCGAUGGC